rnacentral:tRNA from 1 species
GGAAGGUAAGUCUAAAUGGUUUGACAGCAGUCUUGAAAACUGCCGGGCGUGAAAUCCCAUACAGGUUCGAGUCCUGUACCUUCCG